ACGAUUAAGCCGGCUUCGGCCGGGUAUAGAGUGGCGAACGGGUGAGUAACACGUGACCAACCUGCCCCUUGCUCCGGGACAACCGCUGGAAACGGCGGCUAAUACCGGAUACUCCGCGGGCCCCGCAUGGGGCCGGCGGGAAAGCCCCGACGGCAAGGGAUGGGGUCGCGGCCCAUUAGGUAGUAGGCGGGGUAACGGCCCACCUAGCCCGCGAUGGGUAGCCGGCCUGAGAGGGCGAUCGGCCACAUUGGGACUGAGAUACGGCCCAGACUCCUACGGGAGGCAGCAGUGGGGAAUUUUGCGCAAUGGGGGAAACCCUGACGCAGCAACGCCGCGUGCGGGAUGACGGCCCUCGGGUUGUAAACCGCUUUCAGCAGGGAAGAUAUUGACGGUACCUGCAGAAGAAGCUCCGGCUAACUACGUGCCAGCAGCCGCGGUAAUACGUAGGGAGCGAGCGUUAUCCGGAUUCAUUGGGCGUAAAGCGCGCGUAGGCGGCUGCCUAAGCGGAACCUCUAACCCCGGGGCUCAACCUCGGGCCGGGUUCCGAACUGGGCGGCUCGAGUGCGGUAGAGGAGAGCGGAAUUCCCGGUGUAGCGGUGGAAUGCG
rnacentral:rRNA from 1 species